rnacentral:lncRNA from 1 species
GUUAGAUGGGACUAGGAGUCAAAGAGGAUUCUGGGAAAUGUAGUAGAGAAGUGGUGAUCCAGGAAGGAAGUGACAUAGCAAGGAGACUCAUUUAAGCAAAGGACACUUCCUGAAGUGUCCCCUUUUCCCUGGGCUCUUUCUCCAGCGGAGCAAUGUGAUCCACAAGCAAGGAGGGACACCAAUAAGGCAUCCAGGGCAGGGGACACAUGCUCAUGGCACAGCACUCAUGCGGAGGUCAGAAGAAAACCUACAGGGAAUCGGGGCUCCUCUAUCCUCUGUUUGGUUCCUA